GUAGAAUCACCUGGAUGCUUCUAAAGAGGAUGUCUACCAGACCCCAUGCCGCACUAAUUAGCUCAGAAGUGGGAACCCUUCGCUAGCUCCAUGUUUUGUUCACGUGACUCUCAACCUGGUGUGGCCUGGACUCUAGUCCCUGCCUCAAGGAAAGUCCAGACUGACAUAGAAAAUCCCUGCUCACCAGCCUUGACCUUGGGAGAAAGCCCCUGACCUGUGAGUGGACAGAAGGCCUGGUGGUCAGCCCGUGGGAGCCCUGGAGCGUGCACUGCUGGAGCAGCUCAGAAAAAGCUGAGAAGCCAAGACUUGACUGUCAGUCCUGGAGAAUUAGAACAUGCCUGCUAAAUUUCAGUCCA
rnacentral:lncRNA from 1 species